GACGAACGCUGGCGGCGUGCUUAACACAUGCAAGUCGAGCGGUAAGGCCCUUUCGGGGGUACGACGAGCGGCGAACGGGUAGGAGUAACAACGUGGGUGGACCUCGCCCUUACGUCUCUGGGAGUAAAGCCUGGGAAACGUAGGGUCGUAAUAACCGGAUAUGACCCCACUGACGCAUGUUGUGGGGUGGAAAGCCUUGUGCGGCUAGGGAGUGGCCCGGCCGGCCUAUCAGCUUGUUGGUGGGGU
rnacentral:rRNA from 1 species